rnacentral:rRNA from 1 species
GACGAACGCUGGCGGGGGGCUUAACACAUGCAAGUCGAAGGGAAGGGCCUGCCUUUGUUGGGUUCCCGGGUGGCGAACGGGGGAGGUACACGGGAGUUACCUGGCCCUGGCUUUUGGGUUACUUUAAGGAACUGGGGCUUAUACCGGAAAGGAAGUCCCGCUGCCUGGGGGGGGGUGGGAAGGUUUUGCGGUUGGGGAUUGAAUUGGGGGUUAUCCGCUUGGUGGGGGGGUAGUGGGUUACCCAGGCUUUGACGGGUUGCCGGGCUGGGAGGGGUGCCGGCCACAAGGGGACUGAGAGACGCCCCAGAGUCCAACGGGAGGCAGCAGUGGGGAAUAUUGCACAAUGGGCGGAAGCCUGAUGCAGCAACGCCGCGGGCGUGAUGACGGCCUGCGGGUUGUAAACCGCUUUCGCCUGUGACGAAGCGUGAGUGACGGUAAUGGGUAAAGAAGCACCGGCUAACUACGUG